AUGGCUCAGUGAGGCCUUGGGACUGGCUCAGAGAGGUCGGCAACGACCACUCAGAGCCGGAAACUUGGUCAAACUUGGUCAUUUAGAGGAAGUAAAAGUCGUAACAAGGUUUCGUCUUCAAGUGAUGAAGAUGAUCAUAUUAAUGAUCCUUCUGCAGUAAAACUUACGGAAGCCUUUGCGUCCCGAAAGGGUCGGUCUCGUACGACUAUAAACGAAUAACGACGAGCCAUAAUCGCAAGUCUGGCCUUCAGGGGCUGGGCAACACUGUCAAAUUGCGGGAACCCCCUAAAGUCUCUUACACUAAGCCAUGGCCGAAAGGUCGCGGUGGCCAGGGUAAUGCCCUCGGGUAUAGUCACAGCUAAGAGAAUAGAUCGCCUGUUCUAGGCGUGAAAAUGGGCAAUCUGCAGCCAAGUCCUAAGCCCGCCGAGUCGGUGGGUAUGGAUGCAGUUCACAGGCCAAAUGGUAGUGGGUGAGGCGAUGCCUUGCUUAAGAUAUGGUCGGGCCCCUUGGGAAACCUUGGGGAUAAUUUACUGAAUUUCACACCAUGUUGGGAGAGGCGCUCUGUGCACGGAAAAUUUGUGAGAAAGAAUAGUAUUGAUGCUAUGCUAAAAACUGGUGAUAUCAUCAAUACUAUCUAACUCUACCCAAAAAUUUGGGUCGCACAGGCAUGGCCGGGCCGAAUGCACCGCCAGGCAAGCAACAUUUCUGCUGCUUGCCCAGCGGGCAAAGUCGGCCACGGACCAGCCCGGGUCUCUAACCAGACCCACCUCCCACCGCCACAACAUUUCCUCAAAAUAGAGGGCGCACAAUUUCCUUGUCUGAUUAAUGAUAUUGUGUUCCUGGCACAGGAACAGGGGAUUGAUGUUUCUGUGGCGGUCUGGUCAGCUGCGCUGCAUGGCUCAUGUGUUCGAUUUCCCGCAUACCUCGAAGUAUUUUUGCCGAGAUAUAAUAUGUGGGAAAUAUCCAUGGCCGGUACAAUGUUGUUAUAAUGUUGCUGAUAUGUGAUGCGAUGUGUAAGAUAUUUUGUACCGGAAAUGCGAACUGUGGGCGUGUCAGCGGCUGGUUGACUUGGGGACAUGGUGUUGUGGGAAGACAGGACAAGGUGACAUACUUUGGGAAUAACCAUGAUGUGUAUUUGCAUAAGGAGUAAAAACAGGAACAUUUGGCCAUUGGCCGAGGGCGAUGCCAGCGACUUGCUGGGUCGAGAGGUGCGCAUUCGCGCCGCGAAAACCGGGAGCAGCGACAAUCUGCCGCAGAGCGGCAAGCAGGGCCGCAGCCGAGAGGGAUUCCACCGCCAUGGUGGAUGAGGCAGCGUGAAAAGAAAUCAAGUUCAAAAUGCUGAACAGAAGUCCUUUUCAUCUUUUGCUUCGUCUUCGCUCCUGCCCUUCCCUUCCACCUGUCCACCUCUCAUGGCAGGAACAGUUCCUGCACGCUCCAUAUGGCAAGAACACACUCACACUUAGUUUCCACGUGUCCACCCUUUCCAUGUCUGUCCACAUGUAUAAAGAACCGUUCCGUAGGUGAACCUGCGGAAGGAUCAUUACUGAGUUAGGGUCCCCUGGGCCCGAACCUCCCAACCCUUUGUCUACCUGACCUCUGUUGCUUCGGCGGGCCCGUCCUUUACCGGACCGCCGGAGGACCGUCGCCCUGCGGCGUCCUCUGGCCCGUGCCCGUCGAUGGCCAACCUUUAAAACUCUAUGCUGAAAUCAUGUUUCUAUGUCUGAAUCCACAAAAAAAAUAAAAGCAAAACUUUCAACAACGGAUCUCUUGGUUCUGGCAUCGAUGAAGAACGCAGCGAAAUGCGAUAAGUAAUGCGAAUUGCAGAAUUCCAGUGAGUCAUCGAAUCUUUGAACGCACAUUGCGCCCUUUGGCAUUCCGAAGGGCAUGCCUGUUCGAGCGUCAUUAUCACCCCUCAAGCCCUGUGCUUGGUGUUGGAUGGUCUGGUCGAGGUGCGCCUCGACCCCUCCCAAAGACAAUGACGGCGGCCUGCGGCUCCCCCGGCACACUGAGCUUUUCAUCGAGCACGUGUUGGAUUACUGGGUGCGCGGGCCACGGUCCUCUUCCUAGUGGCUAGGAAACUUCACACAAGGUUGACCUCGGAUCAGGUAGGAAUACGCGCUGAACUUAAGCAUAUCAAUAAGCGCAGGAAAAGAAACCAACAGGGAUUGCCUCAGUAACGGCGAGUGAAGCGGCAACAGCUCAAAUUUGAAAUCUGGCCUCUUGGGGUCCGAGUUGUAAUUUGUAGAGGAUGUUUUGGGUACCGCCCCGGUUUAAAUUUCUUGGAACAGAAUGUCAAAGAGGGUGAGAAUCCCGUCUUGGACCGGCGGUAGGGCCUGUGUAAAACUCCUUCGACGAGUCGAGUUGUUUGGGAAUGCAGCUCAAAAUGGGUGGUAAAUUUCAUCUAAAGCUAAAUAUUGGCCAGAGACCGAUAGCGCACAAGUAGAGUGAUCGAAAGAUGAAAAGCACUUUGAAAAGAGAGUUAAACAGUAUGUGAAAUUGUUGAAAGGGAAGCGCUUGCAACCAGACUUGCACGCGGCGGUUCCCCUUGCCUUUUGGUCAGGGUACUCCGUCACGUUCAGGCCAACAUCGGUUUUGGGGGCCAGUUAAAGGCCCUGGGAAUGUACCUACCUACGGGUAGACUUAUAGACCAGGGUGCCAUGUGGCCUCCCGGGACCGAGGAACGCGCUUCGGCUCGGAUGUUGGCGUAAUGGUUGUCAGCGACCCGUCUUGAAACACGGACCAAGGAGUCUAACAUCUAUGCGAGUGUUUGGGUGUCAAACCCGGAACGCGGAAUGAAAGUGAACGGAGGUAGGAAGCUUCGGCUGCACUAUCGACCGAUCCUGAAGUUUACGGAUGGAUUUGAGUAAGAGCAUAGCUGUUGGGACCCGAAAGAUGGUGAACUAUGCCUGAAUAGGGUGAAGCCAGAGGAAACUCUGGUGGAGGCUCGCAGCGGUUCUGACGUGCAAAUCGAUCGUCAAAUUUGGGUAUAGGGGCGAAAGACUAAUCGAACCAUUAAACAAAAGUUACCGGUGGUUGAGUGUGCCUAUGAAAGUAGGUGCAAGUGCCGAAUUCUGGCGCAACACUGUCAAAUUGCGGGGACUCCCUAAAGCUUCAACGACCGUCGCGCAGACGAAAGUGUGCGUCGACACCAGGUUAACGGCCUCGGGCACGGUAACACGGUUGAAGAUGUAACAAUGGGUAAUCUGCAGCCAAGUCCUACGGGCUCCUGCCGGAGCCUACGGAUGCAGUUCACAGACUAAAUGGCAGUGGGCUCCCCCCUCGGGGGCUUAAGACAUAGUCGGUCCCCCGGAGAGAUCCGGGCGCACACGCUAAAUCUCAGGUGAAAGAAUUCUACGAUUCCGUAGUCGCCUUGGGACCCGAACGGUGCGGACGUCCCCUGGCGCCGAGUAAUGCUGGUAGCUGGUUCCUGCCGA
rnacentral:rRNA from 1 species